GUGGGGAAUAUUGGACAAUGGGGGAAACCCUGAUCCAGCGACGCCGCGUGAGUGAAGAAGUAUUUCGGUAUGUAAAGCUCUAUCAGCAGGGAAGAAAAUGACGGUACCUGACUAAGAAGCCCCGGCUAACUACGUGCCAGCAGCCGCGGUAAUACGUAGGGGGCAAGCGUUAUCCGGAUUUACUGGGUGUAAAGGGAGCGUAGACGGCACUGCAAGUCUGGAGUGAAAGCCCGGGGCUCAACCCCGGGACUGCUUUGGAAACUGUGGUGCUGGAGUGCAGGAGAGGUAAGUGGAAUUCCUAGUGUAGCGGUGAAAUGCGUAGAUAUUAGGAGGAACACCAGUGGCGAAGGCGGCUUACUGGACUGUAACUGACGUUGAGGCUCGAAAGCGUGGGGAGCAAACAGGAUUAGAUACCCGUGUAGUCC
rnacentral:rRNA from 1 species